GAUGAACGCUAGCGGCAGGCCUAACACAUGCAAGUCGAGGGGUAUUAGGAGCUUGCUCCUAAGAGACCGGCGCACGGGUGCGUAACGCGUAUGCAAUCUACCUUUUACAGGGGAAUAGACCAGAGAAAUUUGGAUUAAUGCCCCAUAGUAUAUAUUAUUCGCAAGUUUGAUAUAUUAAAGUUCAAACGGUAAAAGAUGAGCAUGCGUCCCAUUAGUUAGUUGGUAAGGUAACGGCUUACCAAGACGAGGAUGGGGAGGGGUCCUGAGAGGGAGAUCCCCCACACUGGCGCUGGGACACGGACCAGACUCCGACGGGAGGCAGCAGAGAGGAAUAUUGGACAAUGGGCGCAAGCCGGAUCCAGCCAUGCCGCGUGCAGGAAGAAGCAUCUAUGGUGUGUAAACUGCUUUUGUACGGGAAGAAACACCCCUUCGUGAAGGGACUUGACGGUACCGUAAGAAUAAGGAUCGGCUAACUCCGUGCCAGCCGCCGCAGUAA
rnacentral:rRNA from 1 species